rnacentral:rRNA from 1 species
ACAGAGGUCCCAAGCGUUGUUCGGAUUCACUGGGCGUAAAGGGUGCGUAGGUGGUGACGUAAGUCGGAUGUGAAAUCUCGGAGCUCAACUCCGAAAUGGCAUUGGAAACUGCGUCGCUUGAGGGUCGGAGGGGGGACUGGAAUUCUCGGUGUAGCAGUGAAAUGCGUAGAUAUCGAGAGGAACACCAGUGGCGAAGGCGAGUCCCUGGACGACUCCUGACACUGAGGCACGAAAGCUAGGGGAGCAAACAG